GAUGAACGCUGGCGGCGUGCCUAAUACAUGCAAGUCGAGCGAACGGACGAGAAGCUUGGCUUCUUGAUGUUAGCGGCGGACGGGUGAGUAACACGUGGAUAACCUUCCUAUAAGACUGGGAUAACUUCGUGAAACCGGAGCUAAUACCGGCUAAUAUUUUGAACCGCAUGGAUCAAAAGUGAAAGACGGUCUUGCUGUCACUUAGAGAUGGAUCCGCUCUGCAUUAGCUAGUUGGUAAGGUAACGGCUUACCAAGGCAACGAUGCAUAGCCGACCUGAGAGGAUGAUCGGCCACACUGGAACUGAGACACGGUCCAGACUCCUACGGGAGGCAGCAGUAGGGAAUCUUCCGCAAUGGGCGAAAGCCUGACGGAGCAACGCCGCGUGAGUGAUGAAGGUCUUCGGAUCGUAAAACUCUGUUAUUAGGGAAGAACAUAUGUGUAAGUAACUGUGCACAUCUUGACGGUACCUAAUCAGGAAGCCACGGCUAACUACGUG
rnacentral:rRNA from 1 species